UUAACAGUUUUGAACAAAUUAGUGCAUUCUUGAAGGAGGAGCAAGAGCGAGAGAGAGAGAGAGGGCUAGCUAUAUUUCGUCAUUUAGUUUCACUUUCACUUACUUACCAAAUCCAUAGAGCUAGUAUAGCCAACUCAAACACUCGGCUCAAACACCCGGCUCACACCUGCCUAUGACUAUCAAACACAGGAACUCUUCCAAGUCAAGCGGGACUGGACAUAUUGGUACAGGAUGGACAGGCACCUCCUCAGAGCAGAACCCCUGACUUUUCUUCUCUCUGGGAUUGAUGACCAAAACAGAACGAUAACAAAUUAUCAGGAUGGAAACAGCUGUUCUUGUAGGCCAAUUGAGUCAACAAUCAAUAAAUGGGCCGGAUUACCGAACAGGGACGAGGCGGCCUACAGGGAGGAGGUGAGGUCCCUCGGAGUGUGGUGUCAGGAAAAUAACCUCACACUCAACGUCAAAAAAACAAAGGAGAUGAUUGUGGACUUCAGGAAACAGCAGAGGGAACAC